rnacentral:lncRNA from 1 species
UAUUCUCUUUGUUCUUUAAUUCAUCAGCCCACAUAAAUCUCUGUAUCUGUUGAAAAAAGAUUCAAUUUUUAGUCUUUAUACUUGUGUUACUUGAUCUGGGGUUGUGUUUUAUUACUCUGAAGUUCAAAAAGAUUCAAUUUUUCAUCACCUAAAGGCUAUAUACUUGUGUUUCUUGAUCUGGGGUUGUCUUAUAUUGCACUGAAGUUGAAAAAGAUUCAAUUUUCAUUACCUAAAGGCUUUAUACUUGUGUUACUUGAUCUGGGGUUGUGUUAUUUUACUCUGAAGUUAAAAAGAUUCAAUUUUUCAUCACUUAAAGGGCUUUAUACUUGUGUUGCUUGAUCUGGGGUUCUCAUAUUUUGAGCUGAAGUUGAAAAAGUU